CAAGAUGGUGGCUGCCAUGCCUGCCUCAGAGGAACAACCCCACCCCCCGCCUCACCGCGUGGGGGCGGGGAGCGCAUUGUGAGGAUAAAACAAGCUUCUUGGAGGAAGGUGCGGCACCUUUUACGAAAGAGGCAGAGAGAAGAAGUGAUUGUUGCUGCUGCAGCCACAAUAAAGCUGCUCCAGUCAAUCCACUUGCAGACUCAGGAUGGGAGCAGAAUAUGGGUCCUAGACUGUAUUACUUAGUACGACCCUGUUCAAAUACCUUGGACACCUUGUUAGCACAGAAUGAGGUGUUCAAUCAAGAGCCUGGGAAUUGGAAGGACCAAGGCACAGUUUCUGAGUGGUGAUUACAAGGGCAUGAGUACGAGUGCCAAAGUAGCAGUCUUCGACGCUGCAGGAAGCUGAGCAACCUUGAAGUCUACAUUUGUAAAUCAGCCUGGAUGAUUAUAAAGUCACAAGCAAAGAGAGCAUAUGAAACAAUUAUUUGCACCAUUCUUUCACUGUUUUAAUUUGCUCUCAACAUGAACACAGUGCUGUUAAGAGCCAUUGCAGCUUUGUCUUUGUAAAUUUUGUACCUCGCUCAGUAUUUUCAAAUUGGAAUACUAAAUGCCUCAAAAGUAGAAAUGCAACAAAGGACGAUUGUUUUCUGGUGAUGAAACCACUUUUUGUUCAAUAAUGCUGUCUUGUUUAAUACUUGUUAAAAUAUAUUUGAUACAUAAAGAAAGUCGGCAACUUUUCUUUCUGUCCCCCCACCCCCACCCCCAUGAGAUUUCCUGCCCUCCAAAGUAUUUAGGGAAGGAUGUUUUAGGCAGAAAAUUAAACUGGAAACUGUCCCUUCUUGCAUAACUGAAAGGCUAAGAACAUUUCAGAAAAUUUACAACUUGCAUGCAACAAAUACUCUUAAUUAAGUGCAAUAUAAAUUCAGGUAGUUUUUGAUAGGAACUACAGAAAUUUACCUUAUAUUUUUAAAAAUGUAAAAGUUCAAGGUAUUUCAACUUUUUUUUGUUUAAGCUAAAUUUAGUAUUGAGAAAAUAGAUAUGCAUAGUUUUGUAAUCUAUUAUGCAUUGUUAUUUUAUUUAAAUAUGAAACCUAGUCAUCCCACUUUAUAAUCUAAUCACUUUAUAAGGAAGAACAUUCUACUUAAAACAAAUGUGGAAGUACAUUCUGUAGAAAACAAUAUGGAUCACUUUGAAGUAGUGUGUUUAGGACUCAAGCGUGAAAUAGUUCCUUUGACUUUUUUCCCCAAAUGCCAUUAAUAAAACCCAUACACCCAGUUAUAAAAGCUUUGUUUAAAAUUUUCAAAUUACUAAAACAUACAUUUGAUUAAAUAUAAUGCUGUAUUUAUUGUUGGAUAAUUUACAUCAUUUAUUACUUAUGUUGAGAGAAAAUGCUAUAUUGCAUUCUUACUGCUUGCUUGUACAUAGCAGCAGCAUGGCAACUUUUUCUUCCAGUCUUCUUUAUUAUUAAGGCACAGUAAGUAAGAAGCUCCCUUAGUACAGAAAAGAAGUUUUUAUAGUGUUAAUCUUAAAAUACAUUUGAAAAUAAUACUUUUUCAGCACUAUUCACUUCUAUUCUGGUUAUGUAAGCUACAAAAACAUAACGAUCAAUCUUUAUUUCCAAUCAUUUCAGUGUUAAAAUUAAUAAAUGUCAUUGUUAUAUAUUAGUUUGUGCUUUUACUGUUGAUUUUGGGACUAACAGAACUAUGUAUCCAAAUGUUGAUGAAUAAUGAGAGACU